GUAGGUGAACCUGCGGAAGGAUCAUUAAUGAGAUAGGGUCCUUCGGGGCCCGACCUCCAACCCCAUAUUUACCUUACCACUGUUGCCUCGGCGGGACGUCGACGCCUGAGAAGGCGCCGGCCGUCGGCUUCGGCCCUCGAGUGCCCGUCGAUGGACUAUUUGAAACCCAUUUAAUGAAGCCUUCUGAGAGUAUUAUACAAUACUUCAAAACUUUCAGCAACGGAUCUCUUGGUUCUG
rnacentral:misc_RNA from 1 species